UUUCGAUUUUUUAAAAUUGUUUCAACUAUAUCGAUAUCUUAACCAUAGCUGAUUGCCAAAUGGCGUCGUCUGCUCAGGUUUCAAACGUGGCUGGCGAUGGCUGCACGAAAAAUGUGUCUCAUUAUAGAUUAUUCUCUUAAAAUAGUUAUUAUUUGAUACGUGCUCCAUGUUGUUUACAGCAGGCAAAUAAAAUCAAGAAUGCAUAUAGAAUGAUUGUGGAAUCUUGAAACCCUUUUCUAAAUUCUGAGAAAUCAAAAUCAAGUUCCCGACUAAAAUAGGCCUAGCAUUAAUCACGCCAGAGCCAGCCAUCACAACAAUGAGAUGCAAGAAUUUGUUGUGCUGGUGUUAACCUGGCGGCAGGAAUCUCAUUGUUCGGGUUAACAGCAUCCUCUUGUAUUGGAGAAACUACCAAUGUUGCUUGAGUUGCUGAUAUCUUCUCCCAGUUUCAUAAAAUGUUCUCGUGUACCCCUGUAGUGGGUGUACACAACACAUGAGGACUCCCUUUUUCCUCUAUCCCGCCUGGUGUCUGGUCAAUUUUUCAGCGGAUG